rnacentral:rRNA from 1 species
UACGUAGGCAGCGAGCGUUGUUCGGAGUUACUGGGCGUAAAGCGUGCGUAGGCGGUGUCUUAAGUUUGUUGUGAAAUCUCCCGGCUUAACCGGGAGGGUGCGGCGAAUACUGCCGCGGCUGGAGCACUGUAGAGGCAGGCGGAAUUCCGGGUGUAGCGGUGGAAUGCGUAGAGAUCCGGAAGAACACCGGUGGCGAAGGCGGCCUGCUGGGCAGUUGCUGGACACUGAGGCGCGACAGCGUGGGGAGCAAACAGG